rnacentral:tRNA from 1 species
GCCGUUGUAGCUCAGUUGGUAGAGCNNGGUAGAGCACAUCCAUGGUAAGGAUGGGGUCCGCGGUUCGAUCCCGCGCAACGGCUCCA